rnacentral:rRNA from 1 species
GAGUUUGAUCCUGGCUCAGAUUGAACGCUGGCGGCAUGCCUUACACAUGCAAGUCGAACGGUAACAGGUCUUCGGAUGCUGACGAGUGGCGAACGGGUGAGUAAUACAUCGGAACGUGCCCAGUAAUGGGGGAUAGCUCGGCGAAAGCCGGAUUAAUACCGCAUACGCCCUGAGGGGGAAAGUGGGGGACCGCAAGGCCUCACGUUAUUGGAGCGGCCGAUGGCUGAUUAGCUAGUUGGUAGGGUAAAGGCCUACCAAGGCGACGAUCAGUAGCUGGUCUGAGAGGACGAUCAGCCACACUGGGACUGAGACACGGCCCAGACUCCUACGGGAGGCAGCAGUGGGGAAUUUUGGACAAUGGGGGAAACCCUGAUCCAGCAAUGCCGCGUGUGCGAAGAAGGCCUUCGGGAUGUAAAGCACUUUUGUCAGGGAAGAAAUCCUUUGGGCUAAUACCCUAGGGGGAUGACGGUACCUGAAGAAUAAGCACCGGCUAACUACGUGCCAGCAGCCGCGGUAAUACGUAGGGUGCAAGCGUUAAUCGGAAUUACUGGGCGUAAAGCGUGCGCAGGCGGUUGUGUAAGACAGGUGUGAAAUCCCCGGGCUUAACCUGGGAAUUGCAUUUGUGACUGCACGACUAGAGUGUGUCAGAGGGGGGUGGAAUUCCACGUGUAGCAGUGAAAUGCGUAGAUAUGUGGAGGAACACCAAUGGCGAAGGCAGCCCCCUGGGAUAACACUGACGCUCAUGCACGAAAGCGUGGGGAGCAAACAGGAUUAGAUACCCUGGUAGUCCACGCCCUAAACGAUGUCAACUAGUUGUUGGGGAUUUACUUCCUUGGUAACGUAGCUAACGCGUGAAGUUGACCGCCUGGGGAGUACGGCCGCAAGGUUAAAACUCAAAGGAAUUGACGGGGACCCGCACAAGCGGUGGAUGAUGUGGAUUAAUUCGAUGCAACGCGAAAAACCUUACCUACCCUUGACAUGGCAGGAACUUUCCAGAGAUGGAUUGGUGCUCGAAAGAGAACCUGCACACAGGUGCUGCAUGGCUGUCGUCAGCUCGUGUCGUGAGAUGUUGGGUUAAGUCCCGCAACGAGCGCAACCCUUGUCAUUAGUUGCUACGAAAGGGCACUCUAAUGAGACUGCCGGUGACAAACCGGAGGAAGGUGGGGAUGACGUCAAGUCCUCAUGGCCCUUAUAGGUGGGGCUACACACGUCAUACAAUGGCUGGUACAAAGGGUUGCCAACCCGCGAGGGGGAGCUAAUCCCAUAAAGCCAGUCGUAGUCCGGAUCGCAGUCUGCAACUCGACUGCGUGAAGUCGGAAUCGCUAGUAAUCGUGGAUCAGAAUGUCACGGUGAAUACGUUCCCGGGUCUUGUACACACCGCCCGUCACACCAUGGGAGCGGGUUCUGCCAGAAGUAGUUAGCCUAACCGCAAGGAGGGCGAUUACCACGGCAGGGUUCGUGACUGGGGUGAAGUCGUAACAAGGUAACC